rnacentral:rRNA from 1 species
AUGAAGGCACAUCGGCCCGGAUCCGGCCGGGAACCAGAUGAGCCCGCGCCUCCCCCGCCUCGGAUCCAGUCGUCCCCGCGCCAAAAUCCCCACUCGGGAUCCUCCCAGAUUCGACCCCCACCAACCAGAGCCCUCCCAUGGCUCCCUUCGAAUCCUCCCUUUCUGGCCGAGGAACCAGCACAGUCGCGCUCGAGCACUCCCGAGGCCAAGCUCCUCCGACCUCACGACCCCGAAGCCCCGGCGACGACCAGCACCCGACGCCGGCAAGCAGCAGCAACUACCGCAUCCCCGAUUCCCGAGCGACCUCGCUCCCCUGCCGUCUUCGGAACCGCGCCGCUGAGCCGCCCGAGCUCCUUCUUGCCCGCCUCCCUCCAACCAGAGCUCGCUGCGGGUGAGAGAGCCCUCUGA